UCUGCCCUCAGCCCUCAGCUGGACUAGGUGUGCCAUGGGUGGCUUUCACAUUGGGUGCAAAAGUCUAGAUGCGGGGAAUGCGGUGGCAACUGAAAACUCAGGGAUGCCAGCAACCACAGAGCCCCAGUGGGUGUCACACCUCUCACUCAGGGAGUCCUGAGGUCUGAGCCCCCAAGAAAUGUGGAUUUUGUAGUUUGGCAAGCCAGCCAGGAGGGAAUGGCACCCAACUGCUUCGCUUCUUUAUGCCACAGCUAGGCAAACGGGGGUGUGAUACAGCUCUCUCUGAUGCCCACAGCUUGGCGGAUGGGGGUGUGUUACAGCUCGUUUGUUCCUGCCACCCGCUGCUUGGUGAACGGGGAUGCAUGCUGCCCAGUGGUUUUUCCACUUCCUAGCUUGGGGAACAGGAAUGCAUGUUACAGCUCUUUUUGCACCUGCCAUUCCGCGGUUCCGAGUUCUUGUCCCACAAACAAGAGGAAUGAGGCUCAUGUGAACACGCUUGGAAUUCAUUACUUUUAUCAGUGGGGAGUUGCAAAUAAAACAAGCAGGAGAGUCUUGGUGACAGUAUUACAAACCUGGAAGGACACAUGUUGAAUUACAAGCAGAUUCACUGAAACGCUCAGCCGUUUUCAC
rnacentral:lncRNA from 1 species